UACGGAGGGUGCGAGCGUUGUCCGGAAUCACUGGGCGUAAAGCGCGUGUAGGUGGUGGGACAAGUCUGCUGUGAAAGCGCCUGGCUUAACCGGGCGAGGUCGGCGGAAACUGUUCGACUCGAGGACGGUAGAGGGGGGUGGAAUUCCCGGUGUAGUGGUGAAAUGCGUAGAGAUCGGGAGGAACACCUGUGGCGAAGGCGGCCCCCUGGGCCGGCCCUGACACUGAGACGCGAAGGCGUGGGGAGCGAACGGG
rnacentral:rRNA from 1 species